UACGUAGGGUGCAAGCGUUAAUCGGAAUUACUGGGCGUAAAGCGUGCGCAGGCGGUUCUGAAAGUCAGCUGUGAAAGCCCCGGGCUUAACCUGGGAAUUGCGGUUGAAACUACAGGGCUAGAAUCUGGCAGAGGGGGGGUGGAAUUCCACGUGUAGCAGUGAAAUGCGUAGAGAUGUGGAGGAACACCGAUGGCGAAGGCAGCCUCCUGGGCCAACACUGACGCUCAUGCACGAAAGCGUGGGGAGCAAACAGG
rnacentral:rRNA from 1 species